UCGAGAAUCUUCCGCAAUGGACGAAAGUCUGACGGAGCGACGCCGCGUGAUGGAUGAAGUCCCUCUGGGACGUAAACAUCUUUUAUGAGGGAGAAAGUUUAUUGAUAGUACCUCACGAAUAAGGGGUUGCUAAACUCGUGCCGGCAGCAGCGGUAAUACGAGUGCCCCGAGCGUUAUCCGGAAUCAUUGGGCGUAAAGGGUGUGUAGGUGGCAUUGUUAGUCACACGUUAAACCCUGGGGCUUAACCCCAGAUCUGCGUGUGAUACGGCAAAGCUAGAGGAUGGCAGGGAUGUAUGGAACUCAUGGAGUAGGGGUGAAAUCCGUUGAUAUCAUGGGGAACACCGAAAGCGAAGGCAGUACAUUGGGCCACUCCUGACACUGAAACACGAAAGCGUGGGUAGCGAAUGGGAUUAGAUACCCCCGUAGUCCCUGAGCGGGCUGGCAAGGCGCAU
rnacentral:rRNA from 1 species